AACAUCGCGCACCUGCGGGAACCUGCGGAAGGAUCAUUAUCGAGUUUACAACUCCCAAACCCCUGUGAACAUACCAAUCGUUGCCUCGGCGGGACCGCCCCGGCGCCCCCGGGCCCGGACCCAGGCGCCCGCCGGAGGACCCCCAAACUCACUUGAUUCCACGGUGUAUCUUCUGAGUGACACAAGCAAAUAAAAUCAAAACUUUCAGCAAUGGAUCU
rnacentral:misc_RNA from 1 species